ACGGGUGCGUAACACGUGAGCAAUCUGCCGAUCUCUGGGGGAUAGCCGGCCCAACGGCCGGGUAAUACCGCAUACGCUCAUCGAGGGGAUUCCCUUGGUGAGGAAACCUCCGGGGGAGAUCGAGGAGCUCGCGACCUAUCAGCUAGUUGGCGGGGUAACGGCCCACCAAGGCAGCGACGGGUAGCUGGUCUGAGAGGAUGGCCAGCCACAUUGGGACUGCGACACGGCCCAGACUCCUACGGGAGGCAGCAGUGGGGAAUAUUGCGCAAUGGACGAAAGUCUGACGCAGCGACGCCGCGUGUGGGAUGAAGCCUUUCGGGGUGUAAACCACUGUUGCCCGGGACGAAACUCUCUUUUCGAGGAGAUUGACGGUACCGGGUGAGGAAGCACCGGCUAACUCUGUGCCAGCAGCCGCGG
rnacentral:rRNA from 1 species